GUUCCAGAGGGUCCCUGCUCUGCAGCCGGCACGGCUGGGGCGGACGGUGAGCUUAAACACCAGCAAACCAGCUGUCUGAGAGCACCAGAGCCGAAACCGAGCUGUGCAUAAACAGAGCCAGCUCCACAGCGACUGUUUGAUUAAAGCUAUUUUUGGAAUCGAAACUCAUGGGUGGGAAGGGAAGCAGAAAGCAGAUAAAUUAGCCAUUAAAAAGCAGCGCGGCCGCAUUGCUGAGCCCUAUCGGCCAUUUCAGGCGUGCUUUAAGCGGGGGAAGGGCUGUUUGCCUGGUUUAGCACGAUUGUGGCCCUCCAACACCCAGCCUUACCUCCCACCUGCGGCAGGACAGACCUCUCCCUCACCAUCAGCAGCCGAGCUGCUCUGCCCCCUUUGCAGGAGGAGCCCCCGGAAUAGGUCUGGAACACAAAUUGUCCCUUCUCCUUCCAUGCAGCAGUAAGGAGGAGCAGCGCUGGGCUGGCGGGGCAGGGGUCCGCACCGCCCAUCACCGUGGCCACUGUGCAUCGCCCAUCCCUCUUUCAAGGGGCUACCACUGCUGCCAAGGCCUCAGCAGCCGCGGACGGGGAGAAAUCCUGCGCUGACUGCCAUGUCAGCCGUGAGAACGUCCGUCGCCUGGGAAAUAACCCGGAGCAGCCAGCAAUGGCAGGGCUCAACGCAUGCAUGGCUGGAGAAGGUGGAGAGGGAAGUUGUGGGGGCCGGGAGGAGACGGCCUCCCGAGCAUGGAGAGACUGGGGGGAUUGUUUGUUAUUCCUGUAAGUAUUAGGAGACUAAUAUCCUUAAGAGUGGUCCACCAGCAGCUGUCAAUUGUCAGUUCUAGUUGUCAAGACUAACCGUGCUGUGCUGCCGCUCGCCAACAGGUUCAUCCUGGCCACUUAUUGUUCAUAAAUAAUUCAUCAGUUAGUCUGAAAAAAAUGUUUUUAAGGAGACUCGGCCCUCCUGCCCAGCUCUGCCCCGCUGGGUGCGUGGCGCGGCGCCCCGCUCGCCCGCCACGGCCGGCUGUGUCCGUGUCCUGCUCACGCGCGAGAGGCGAUGUCCUGCAUCCCCCCGAGCGUCCUGCUACAAGAAGGCAAGCUGUGAGGCAGGUUGCUGUGUGCCCGAAGCUUUGUUGCUCCCAGCCUGAACGGGAGCAUCGUGGACCCAGCCCAGGCUGCCUCUGCCUGGUGGGGCUCUCCUUUCUGAGUCUGGUGUGAAAGCGUGUGGGUCCAACCCACAGCUGGCGGCGUUACCGUUGGGCUUGGUGGAGUAAUAUACGUUCACAGCAUAUGACCUCGUUCUGUGCUUUCUAAUAUCCUUCUUAGCUACAUGAUGUACCUAAUAUCAGUGUCCUCUUGUGGCCUCCAGUGAUACCCUUGCAUAUCUCGGGAUAACUGUUACCAGAGCUAAGCCAGAGAGAGGUUUAUAAACCCAUGGGGAGAGAUAGUUCAGCGCCAUGUUUCUGAAUAAUUGAUUAUCACACGCUUCAGUCUAAAAACGAUCUUCAGUGAUACCCUUUCGGCUGUGCCUCAUCAUCCCUUUUUGUUUUAUUCUGAUUCCCCUGCAGAAAUCUCCCUCCACCAGCUGCCUUUGUAACCUGGUAAGAGCAUUGUAAGCUGCCAGUAAAUGAUCUUUUAUUUUAUUUUUUAUCCAUGUAGUGGUAAAUUAUUGUGUCAGCACAGAGAUGAUGCAGGUGACUAACCUCAUAAAAUGUAGUAAAUGAUUAAUAAAAAUCUCAAAUAACAAUA